rnacentral:rRNA from 1 species
UACAGAGACUGCAAGCGUUAUUCGGAUUCACUGGGCGUAAAGGGUGCGCAGGCGGCCAAGUGUGUGAGGCGUGAAAGCCCGGGGCUUAACCCCGGAAUUGCACCUCAAACUACAUGGCUAGAGCAUUGGAGAGGGUAGCAGAAUUCAUGGUGUAGCAGUGAAAUGCGUAGAUAUCAUGAGGAAUACCAGAGGCGAAGGCGGCUACCUGGACAAUUGCUGACGCUCAGGCACGAAAAGCGUGGGGGAGCAAAAGGG